rnacentral:lncRNA from 1 species
AGAAGAAAAGCCAAAGAGUGAAACAAAAAUGGCGUCGACGACUCUCUCAAUCGCAACAACAAUCCGUUCCUCAUCUUAUCCUACUCUCGCUUCCAUCAAUCACUUCCCUUCCCGAACCACCACCAUCGAAUUCCCCUCUCGCUUCGGUGGUGGUUCAUCAUCCACAUUGACCCACCGUGCAACCCAUCUCCGUCCAAUCGCCGCCGUCGAAGCUCCGGAGAAAAUCGAGAAGAUCGGAUCCGAAAUCUCAUCCCUAACCCUCGAAGAAGCUCGUAUCCUCGUCGACUAUCUCCAAGACAAAUUCGGUGUCUCCCCACUCUCUUUAGCCCCCGCAGCAGCGGCGGUUGCUGCUCCAGCCGACGGUGGCGCGGCGGCUGUAGUGGAGGAGCAAACAGAGUUCGAUGUGGUUAUCAAUGAAGUUCCGAGUAGUUCUCGUAUUGCAGUAAUUAAAGCUGUUAGGGCUUUGACUAGCUUGGCGUUGAAGGAAGCUAAGGAGCUAAUCGAAGGAUUACCAAAGAAGUUUAAAGAAGGUAUCACUAAAGAUGAAGCUGAAGAAGCUAAGAAGACUCUUGAAGAAGCUGGUGCUAAAGUCUCCAUUGCUUAAGGUUUUUAUAAAAAAAAAAAAAGAAGUUGUUAUCUUUUCUGGAAUUUGAUUGGUCUUUUGUGUUGUUUAGUAUAGUUUGCGUCUGGAAUUGUUGAGAAAUUGUUGUAAUUUGAAUCACAUUUGGUUUCCCAUUAGCUGAUUUCGCCAUUGAUGUGAGCUUUUUGGUAGCUGCACAUAACAUGUUUGUUGAAAUGCCUAAAUGAGGCAAAUCACUCGUAGUUGCUUAACAUGAAACAGAGUUAAAAAUAAUAAGCACAAAUGUCACUGCUACAUUUUUUUACUUAGUAUUGUAACACUCAUGAAAUAUUUAGGAUAUAUUAUAAACGAGAUCAUGUAUGAAUACAAAAACACAGCAUAUUAACACCAAGUUUGAGGCAUUGUCCACCUAAGAAACCUUGUUCUUUGCAGUGCUUAUUGCAGUCCGGAAAUUUUGAGCAUAGACCUUCCACAAGGUACCACCCUCCUUGAGCUUUGGCCAUAGAUUUUGCGUGUACUUCACCUAUCGUUUUCCAAAGAUUGUUGUAAUAUUAGAAAAAAAGUCGUUACUCGUUUAGACAUAAAGGCAAAAGAAAAAGAAAAUUCACUCGACAAGAAUCUCUUGCAGCUGGUAACAACGCAAUAUCACUAUGUAUUUUAUUUUAUUUUUUGUGAUAACAAGUUAAUAUCACAAUGUAUUGUGAAUCACAAUGUAUUGUGAAAAUAAUAGUGUAUACAAUAUGUAUGGAGAUAUGAUCUAAUGUCUGAUAUAAAAUAAGUAUUCGGUUUGCUAGUUAGUGUUGAGUGUUAACUCAUGAAUCUUGCUACUUUGGUUAUACUUCAGUAUAUAUGAAUAAAUUGAAUUAAACAGAAAAAAAAUAUAAACGUUUUUUUGGCAUACUUGGGGCGAGAAGAACAAUCAUGCAUAAGAACACAAGGAAGGCGCAUUUGCUUGAUGAAGCCAUUUUUGGUUUUUGUAUUGUUUAUUUUUCUAAUAUUUGCUAAUGGAACACAAUAUUACUCAAAACCCUUAUUAAUAUAUAUAUAUAUAUAUCUGUAUAUAUAGAGAGAGAAAUAUGAUGAGUUUUUUACUUUGUAAAUAAAAUUGGAUUCUUUUCUUAUUUAAUCUAGGAUAUUUUAUUACAUUUAAGUUAUGGUUUUAUUUUAUAUAUAUGAAAUUUUUAAUAAUCAUGAUAUGGGAUGGGGUGGAUUUAAUUAGUGAUGAUUAUAGGAUUUAGAUUCAAUUUUUUCUAUUAGUUUAUUUUCAUUAUGAUAACUUUAGGUAUCCUACUAUAUUAUUUAGGAAGUACAUUUUAAAUGUAACCUUAACUUUUGUAAUUAAUUACAUGACAAUGCCAUUAGAAAAGUUUAAUAAAAAAAAUCCUUUAAUGACGUCAUUAAGGUUACCAAAAUCAUUUAACGACAAUAUUAAUCUCUUAAUUAUAGGGUUUAUUGGAUCUACAGACGGGUUAGCAAAAUAUACUGAAUAUUCAAAUAUCUAUCUGUUAGCAAAUUAUAAACAAAUAAGUUCGUAAAAGAAUUUCAUAUUUUAUAUACGAAAUCAACUAAAUCUUAAUCACAUAAAAAUUAGCACAAAAAAAAAGUAUUCAACCAUUAAAAAAUUAUCAAAUCUCUGUGUUAUAUAAGUUUUGAUAGUAUAUUCGAAUAAAGUGUAAUAUACCUUUUCAAUUUGUAUUCUUUAACUAAUUUAAGCUAACUAAUAUAUUUUCUAAUCUUAUACCUAUCAAAACCGACUAUCGUUUCUUAUCUCUAUAGUAUUUUUGCAAGACUUUUUUGGUAGAUUUGGGUAAAAGUGCAUUCGGGUCAUAUGGUACAUUCUCUAUUAAAUAAAUAUGGUGCACUCAUAUGUUAUUAGCUAAAAUGUUUAGAUUAUAAUUCAGAGUCAUAUCAUAAAUAAAAUUAAUAUUAAUCAAAUAAAUGGCUUUUUGGCAAGACGGAUUUGGAGGGACGGGUUUUUGAAUCAACAUUAAUAAAAAAGUAAAAUAUAAUUAAUCCACCAUUUCAGUACGAGUUAAAUCUUUAAUUUAUUAUUUUUUAAGACCACUAAUAUUAAACAUAUCAAAUCAUCCUAAUUUAGAAAAAAUUAUAUAAAACCAAAAUUGUUAUAUGGUAUGUAUAAUGUUACUAUAUAUAAAAUUAAACAAUAAAAUAUAAAACUUUAACUUAAAAACUGCGGUAACAAUUAUAAACUGUAAAUAUAAAUAGUUUAUAAAAAUAAAAAUUUGCAAGUUUUAAUAUAUAUUACUUUUAAAAAAUAAAUCGUCCCGCGGUAUACCGCGGGUUAAAAUCUAGUUUAAUCAUUAAGAUUGAAGCAUAAAUAUUAUUAUUCUUAUUAAAUGAUUUCAUAGGAUUUAAGAAUUGCUAAUAAUAAUUUUUAUAAGAUUUAAUAGGGUUGAAGUAAAAUACUAAUUAAAAUUAAAUCCUAUAAAUAUUUUAAAUAGAUUAUAAACGAUAUAUGUGCUUAACAUAAACAGAAUUAAAAGUAAUAAGAACAAAUGUCACUGCAACAUUUUGCAAAUUAUUUUGCAACAUUUUUUACUUUUUAAAAUAUUGUAACACUCAUGAAAUAUUUUAAAUUGAUUAUAAACGAGAUUAUGAAUAAAUACAAGUACACAUCAUAUUAACACCAAGUUUGAGACAUGUUCCACCUGGAAAUUUUUGUUCUUUGCAGUGCUUAUUGCAGUCCGGAAAUUUUGAGCAUAGACCUUCGACAAUGUACCAUUUGUGAGCAGCGUUAACUUCGACCAUAGAUUUCGCGUGUACUUCACCUAUUGUUUUCCAAAAAUUAUUGUAAUAUUAAAAAAAAAAUUGUUGAACAUAAAAGGCAAAAAAAAAAAAAAAAAUCACUCGACAAGAAUCUCUUUCAAUGGGUUACAACGCAAUAUCACAAUGUAUUUUUUAUUUGUAAAAGCUUAAUAUCACAAUGUAUUGUGAAAAUAAAGUGUAUACAAUAUCUUUAACUAUAUGUGUGGAGAUAUGAUACAAAAUUUGAUAUAAAAUAAACAUUUGGUUUGCUAGUUAGUGUUAACUCAUGAAUUUUGCUAUUUUGAGAUAUAAUUAAACAGAAAAAAAUAUAAACGUUUUUUUGGCAUACUUGGGGCAAGAAGAGCAACCAUGCAUAAGAACACAAGGAAGACACAUUUGCCUGAUGAUGCCAUUUUUGGUUUUGUAUUGUUUAUUUUUCUAAUAUUUGCUAAUGGAACAUAAUAUUACUCAAAACUCUUAUGAAUAUAUAUAGAGAAAUAUGAUGAGUUUUUUCUUUUGUAAAUAAAAUUGGAUUCUUUUCUACUUUAAUCUAGGAUAAUUUAUUGCAUUAAGUUAUGGCUUUAUUAUACAUAUAUGAAAGUUUUAAUAAUCAUGAUAUGGGAUGGGAUGGAUUUAUUUAGUGAUGAUUAUAGGAUUUAGAUUCAAUUUCUUCUAUUGGUUUACUUUCCUUAUGAUAACUUUUUUGGGUAUUUAAUCACAAGAUUGAAGCAGAAAUAUUAUUUUUAUUAAAUUAUUUAAUAGGAUUUAAGCAUAGCUAAUAAUAAUUGUUAUAAGAUUUAAUAGGAUUGAAGAAAAAAAUACUAAUUCAAAUUAAAUCUUAUAAAACCCAAAAUCCGAAAACCGUCUCUUCAUCAACAAACUCAAAAUCUAUGAAAAUUAUCUAUUCAAAUCAUAAAUAUUCAAAUAUACGAAGUCACGAACCCUAAAUAAAGAUAGGGUUAAUUUCCUCAUCACAUCUAGAUGCCAGCACUAAAAACCCCUUUAAAGGCCUUAUUGAAACGAUGUUACUACAAAUGGAGUUAAAAGCUUAGAUAUAGAACUGAUAUUAUUAAGAUAAGACUGAAACAGAGAAACAAAGAGACAAGCAACUCUCGAGAGACACAAGUUGUCCCUAUAACUAUAAGGAAUCUAAACCAUUGUGAAACGGCUGUCCAAAGAAAAUAAUUCUCAUAUCUAACGUCCUUGCCUUCUUUAACACAAACCCUAAUAUAUAGAAAUGGAAACAAAUCAAAUGACUUUAGAAAGUAGAAAUUAUCAAAAAGUAAAAACCUAUCAUCCACAGUUUCAUAAAGGCAUAAAGUUAGGUUUUUACUUUUGCAUCUUUCAAUAAGAAAAAGUUAGGGUUUAUCUUGUUUUUCUUCCUCAUCUUCUUCUCUCGUGCAGCCCAAGGAACGCACACAGAGACACACAAACAAAAAAACAAACAAAGAAGAAGUAAAAUGGCAGCUACGACUCUUUCCAUCGCAACCACAAUCCGUUCCUCAUCUUUUUCUUCCGGUCUUGCUUCCGCACAUCACUUCCCUUCUCGACCCCUCUCGAUAGAAUUCCCCUUUAGCUUUGGUGUUUCUUCUUCUUCUACGCUCAGCCACCGUGCAAUCUACCUCCAUCCUAUAUCCGCUGUCAAAACUCCUAAGAAAAUUAAGAAGAUUGGAUCCGAGAUCUCGUCUCUAACCCUCGAAGAAUCCCGCAUCCUCGUCGACUAUGUCCAGGACAAGUUCGGUGUUUCAAUACUCUUUUCAGCACCUGCUGCAGCGGCUUUACCUCCUCCCCUUGACAAUGGUGGUGCGACGGCUUCUGUGGAGAGGCAGACCACAUUCGAUGUGGUUAUCAAUGACGUUCCACGUGGUAAUCGUAUUGCCGUGAUCACAGCCAUUAGGGCUAUGACUAGCUUGUCGUUGAGUGAAUCGAAAGAGCUAAUAGAAGGGUUUCCGAAGAAGUUUAAAGAAGGCGUGACCAAAGAUGAAGCAGAAGAAGACAAGACACAGCUCGAAGAAGCUGGUGCCAAGGUUUCCAUUGUUUAAGUUUUAACAAUCGGAGUUUUUAAAAUAUGAUGUGUUUUCUUUUCUUUUCUAGACUUUCAUAGAUCCAUUUAUUUGUUUCAAGAGACACAUAUAAGGUGCUUUUUUCAUUUCUAGUGUUUGUCUUAUUAUAAAGUUUGUUGUAAUUCUCACCACAAACUCUCUGUUUUUCUCGCAACCUCUGUUUUUGUUCUUGUUAAAACAGAAAAUACAAGAACACGUUUAAACACUUUAAUGUCUUCAUUGAUAAUAAACUUGAUAAUCUUACUCAACACAAAGACACACAUACAUAUAGUGGUUUAGCUCCACUUGCUACACUACACAUACUUAGACUCUAGACCGCAUCAUUGUCCUAAGACUUACAUGACCUACUUAGCUAUGUUGGAACUCCCAACUCCUUAAUUCACUCUUACACAACAUCUUUAGACUCUAUCUUAGACUAACAACCCAACACUCAUUAACUAAACAUAUUUGAGCCUAAUUCAUCUGCAGCCCAUUACAACAAAACACAAAGCCCAACAUCUCUUCUGUUGACUUUGUUCCUUCCUCUUCAUACGUCGUUGACCUUCUUGUCACGACAUUUUUUUCUUUUUUAAAAAACUAUAUAUUAUGAAAUCCGAGUAUACAUGAUUUGAAUAAAAGCGCGGGUAGGAAAACUGAGAAAACUAUUGGGUCAAAAUUGCAUUAUCAUGAAAUCAUAAAGAAAGGGCGUUUGGUCUAGUGGUAUGAUUCUCGCUUUGGGUGCGAGAGGUCCCGAGUUCGAUUCUCGGAACGCCCCUAUUUAGUUUUUUUCAACUUUUUAGAUCGUAUAUACACGCGCAUGAUAGCAAAGUCUGCGCAUUACUUUUAAUGACAAAAAUACCCCUUAUCUUUUGUUUUUUUAUCCUCCUCAUCUUCUACAAACACACUCACAGAGACACACAAAACAAAUCCCAAAGCUUCAGAGGAAGAAGAAGAAGAGAGUGAGAAACAAUGGCGUCGACGACUCUCUCAAUCGCAACAACAAUCCGUUCCUCUUCUCCUCUCACUUCCGCUUCCACUCAUCACUUCCUUUCCAAACCCACCGCAAUCGAAUUCCCAUUUCGUCUCAGCUCUUCUUCUAGCCACCGUGCAAUCAACCUCCGUCCUAUCUCCGCCGUCGAAGCUCCGGAGAAAAUCGAGAAAAUCGGAUCCGAAAUCUCCUCCUUAACCC